rnacentral:rRNA from 1 species
AUACGUAGGUGGCAAGCGUUAUUCGGAUUUAUUGGGCGUAAAGGGUCCGCAGGGGGUUUAUUAAGUCUGAUGUGAAAGCCCGCGGCUCAACCGCGGAACUGCAUUGGAAACUGAUAAACUAGAGCAUAGGAGAGGUGAGUGGAAUUCCUGGUGUAGCGGUGGAAUGCGUAGAUAUCAGGAGGAACACCGAAGGCGAAGGCAGCUCACUGGACUAUUGCUGACCCUCAGGGACGAAAGCUAGGGGAGCGAACAGGAGUAGAAACCCCUGUAGUCC